rnacentral:rRNA from 1 species
UACGAAGGGGGCUAGCGUUGUUCGGAAUCACUGGGCGUAAAGCGCACGCAGGCGGAUUGAUAAGUCAGGGGUGAAAUCCCGGAGCUCAACUUCGGAAUUGCCUUUGAUACUGUCUAUCUUCGAGUUCGGGAGAGGUUGGCGGAAUUCCUAGUGUAGAGGUGAAAUUCGUAGAUAUUAGGAAGAACACCAGUGGCGAAGGCGGCCAACUGGCCCGAUACUGACGCUCAUGUGCGAAAGCGUGGG